UACGUAGGGGGCAAGCGUUGUCCGGAUUUAUUGGGCGUAAAGAGCGUGUAGGCGGUUAGGUAGGUCCGUUGUGAAAACUCGAGGCUCAACCUCGAGACGCCGAUGGAAACCAUCUGACUAGAGUCCGGAAGAGGAGAGUGGAAUUCCUGGUGUAGCGGUGAAAUGCGCAGAUAUCAGGAAGAACACCCGUGGCUAAGGCGGCUCUCUAGUACGGUACUGACGCUGAGACGCGAAAGCGUGGGGAGCGAACAAG
rnacentral:rRNA from 1 species